GAUGAACGCUGACAGAAUGCUUAACACAUGCAAGUCAACUUGAACUUCGGUUUGGGUGGCGGACGGGUGAGUAACGCGUAAAGAACUUGCCUCACAGCUAGGGACAACAUUUGGAAACGAAUGCUAAUACCUGAUAUUAUGAUUAUAUGGCAUCGUAUAAUUAUGAAAGCUAUAUGCGCUGUGAGAGAGCUUUUCGUCCCAUUAGCUAGUUGGAGAGGUAACAGCUCACCAAGGCGAUGAUGGGUAGCCGGCCUGAGAGGGUGAUCGGCCACAAGGGGACUGAGACACGGCCCUUACUCCUACGGGAGGCAGCAGUGGGGAAUAUUGGACAAUGGACCGAGAGUCUGAUCCAGCAAUUCUGUGUGCAAGAUGAAGUUUUUCGGAAUGUAAAGUGCUUUCAGUUGGGAAGAAAAAAAUGACGGUACCAACAGAAGAAGUGACGGCUAAAUACGUG
rnacentral:rRNA from 1 species